UACGUAGGUGGCAAGCGUGGUUCGGAAUUAUUGGGCGUAAAGGGCGCGUAGGCGGUUUGCUAAGUCAGUUGUGAAAGCCCGGGGCUCAACCCCGGAGGGUCGGCUGAUACUGGUGGACUAGAGUACGGAAGAGGUAGCUGGAAUUCCCGGUGUAGUGGUGGAAUGCGUAGAUAUCGGGAGGAACACCAGUGGCGAAGGCGGUUGCCUGGAGCUUUGCUGACGCUGAGGCGCGAAAGCGUGGGGAGCGAUCCGG
rnacentral:rRNA from 1 species